AACAUGACCACAGCUCUCGUUGCUUUCUGGAGCUGUGAUUAGAGAAUCUAGCAAAAAGAAGAGAAAAAAAGCCUGCAGCCCAUCCAGAAGAUGACAGAGGUCACGACUAACAAUGGAUUUGGGGCGUCUGAAGGUUGAAGGACAUCAGUGACAGUCUCAUUACGAAGCUCCAAAGUGUUUGCUGGAUCUUCCCAUUGCAGUUUCAAAUGCGACCCAAAUCAACAACUCAGUGUGAUUUAACAAGGAGGAUGCAUUGUGGUGGCAAAAGCGACAAGAAAAAAGGAUCUGUUCAGCCCCUCGGUGCAGAAGAAGAGGAAAAUGGAGCCUCUGGGGUUACUGAGACUGUCGAGGGAGAGGAGAAGGAGCCUACUCGGUCUGAUCUGGUGGCUAUGCUACAUGCUCAUAUGGGGCAACAGGACACCCGAGAUGCAAAACAGAGUGAGGUAAAUGUGCAUCAAGAACAGCGAUUUAAAGUUCUUCAACAUCAGUUUAACCUUUUGCAGUCUGAAAUACAACUAUCAAUAUCAGAUUCUCCAGCAACUAUUUCUGAUCCAUUAGACUCUGACAAUCAGCCUUCUACAAUCUGCUCAGCAGGCCCAGGCUGAGGUAAUGUCAGGUGGUUCUAAUCCAACCAUUUUAUCAGCUAUUCAGUUCCCUCCACAAGUAGAUUGUAGAUUAGAAAAGUUAAGUGAAGACGAUGAUGUUGAAAAUUUUUUGGUCACAUUUGAACGUAUGGCUAGUGCUUAUCGGUGGCAAAAAUCUGAUUGGGUUUGAUACCAUUGCUUAC